GAGUGGGGAGGAGAGAGAGACAGAGAGCCUGCUUGCUUUAAAGGAGCCAACCGGACAGGAGCCGCUUACACGAGUGUAAGCGGCUCCUCUCCUCUCCUCUUCCGCUUUGCUCCUUUAAAGCAAGCAGGCUCUCUGUCUCUCUCUCCUCCUCACUCA
rnacentral:miRNA from 1 species